GUGUCAGCCGCCGCGGUAAGACAGAGGUUGCAAACGUUGUUCGGAAUUACUGGGCAUAAAGCGCACGUAGGUGGUCCGCUAAGUCGGAUGUGAAAUUCCUCGGCUCAACCGGGGAACGGCAAUCGAUACUGGCGGGCUUGAGGUCCGGAGGGGUGAGUGGAACUCCUGGUGGAGCGGUGAAAUGCGUAGAUAUCAGGAGGAACACCAGUGGCGAAAGCGGCUCACUGGCCGGAAUCUGACACUGAGGUGCGAAAGCUAGGGUAGCAAACGGGAUUAGAAACCCGGGUAGUCC
rnacentral:rRNA from 1 species